AUGAAACUGGGGGCUCUCAUCCUCCCAUUAAAGUAUCGUGCUAGUUCAGCAACAGAUACCAUGUUUGUCUUGUGCUUUAUUUUGUGCCUCUCAUUUCUCCCUGAAGUCAAGUCUGAUAUUGAGCUUGUUCAGCCAAGUUCAGAAAUUAAAUCCCCCGGUGAGAGUGUUAAACUGUCCUGCAAGACAUCAGGGUAUUCAUUCACCAGCAGCCACUGGAUAAACUGGAUACAGCAGGUUCCUGAGUAUUGUGCUAGUUCAGCAACAGAUACCAUGUUUGUCUUGUGCUUUAUCUUGUGCCUCUCAUUUCUCCCUGAAGUCAAGUCUGAUAUUGAGCUUGUUCAGCCAAGUUCAGAAAUUAAAUCCCCCGGUGAGAGUGUUAAACUGUCCUGCAAGACAUCAGGGUAUUCAUUCACCAGCCGCUGGAUACACUGGAUACAGCAGGUUCCUGGGAAAGGAUUGCAAUGGGUGGGAGCAAUAGAUCCAUCAGAUGCAGAUACACGCUACUCACCCUCGUACCAAGGAAAGUGCCACAUUAGCACUGAUAAUUCACAAAGCACAGCAUUCCUGCAACUGAACAAUCUAAAAGUGGAGGAUACUGCCAUAUAUUACUGUGCUAGAGACACAGUGAGAGGAACCAACUGA